rnacentral:rRNA from 1 species
AUCAACUUUCGAUGGUAGGAUAGAGGCCUACCAUGGUGGUAACGGGUAACGGGGUGUUAGGGCACGACACCGGAGAGGGAGCCUGAGAAACGGCUACCACAUCCAAGGAUGGCAGCAGGCGCGCAAAUUACCCAAUCCCGACACGGGGAGGUAGUGACAAUAAAUAACAAUACGGGGUUCUUUCGGAUUUCGUAAUUGGAAUGAGUACAAUUUAAAUCUCUUAACGAGGAACAAUUGGAGGGCAAGUCUGGUGCCAGCAGCCGCGGUAAUUCCAGCUCCAAUAGCGUAUAUUAAAGUUGCUGCAGUUAAAAAGCUCGUAGUUGAAUUUCGGGACCAAUAUGUCGGUCGUGCCUCGGUACGUACUGGCAUCGUUGGUUUCUCCCUUCUGACGAACCAUGAUGUCAUUUAUUUGGUGUCGUGGGGAAUCAGGACUGUUACUUUGAAAAAAUUAGAGUGUUUAAAGCAGGCUCACGCUUGAAUACAUUAGCAUGGAAUAAUGAAAUAGGACGUUUGAUUCUAUUUUGUUGGUUUCUAGGAUCGACGUAAUGAUUAAUAGGGAUAGUUGGGGCAUUAGUAUUCAAUUGUCAGAGGUGAAAUUCUUGGAUUUAUUGAAGACUAACUACUGCGAAAGCAUUUGCCAAGGAUGUUUUCAUUAAUCAAGAACGAAAGUUAGGGGAUCGAAGACGAUCAGAUACCGUCGUAGUCUUAACCAUAAACUAUGCCGACUAGGGAUCGGAUGAUGUUAAUUUUUUAAUGACUCAUUCGGCGCCUUACGGGAAACCAAAGUGUUUGGGUUC